rnacentral:tRNA from 1 species
UUAUUUAGAGCCAUAAUGGUCGAGGCAUCUCAUUUGGGGUGGGAAUUUUUUGGGUUCGAAUCCUGAUAAUCCGA